ACGCGCACGCACGCAGCACGCAGGCCCCGCCCCCAAGUUCCGCCCCGCCCCUUCGAGUCGGCGUCUGCAUGGACCCGGAGGAGGAUGAGGAGGAUCUAGGCUACAUUCCUGCUGACCCUGACACUGCCUUGACCAACUGAUGGACUACCCCUGUCCUCGAGCGUUCUGACUGCCACAGCUUCGGUGGCUACGCUGAGAAGUUUUCCAAAUGAUUCCACGGUACCUAAUUUAAUCCUACCAACAAUGUCAUUAAGCAUCAGGGUCUUCUCUAAUGAGUUGGCCCUUCUCAUCAGGUGGCCAAAGUAUUGGAGCUUCAGCAGCAGUCCUUCCAGGGAACUUUCAAGGUUGAUUUCCUUUAGGAUUGACUGGUUUGAUCUUCUUGCAGUCCAGGAACUCUCAAGAGUCUUCUCCAACACCACAACUCAAAAACAUCAAUUCUUUGGCACUCAGUUUUCUUUAUGGUUCAACUCUCACCUCUGUACCUGACCAUGGGAAAAACUAUUGCUGUGAAUAUAUGGAC
ensembl:lncRNA